rnacentral:rRNA from 1 species
CAGCAGCCGCGGUAAUACGAAGGGGGCUAGCAUUGUUCGGAAUUACUGGGCGUAAAGCGCACGCAGGCGGCUCGAUAAAUUAGAAGUGAAAGCCUUGGGCUUAACCUGAGAAUUGCUUUUAAGACUGUCGAGCUGGAAUCCAGAAGAGGGUAGUGGAAUUCCGAGUGUAGAGGUGAAAUUCGUAGAUAUUCGGAAGAACACCAGUGGCGGAGGCGACUACCUGGUCUGGCAUUGACGCUCAUGUGCGAAAGCGUGGGGAGCAAACAGGAUUAGAUACCCCUGUAGUCCCUGUCUCUUAUAC